rnacentral:lncRNA from 1 species
GUCGGUUGAAGUGCUCUCUAGUACUGUGGCCUUGGGAAGCAUUGAACCUUGGGAUUGGUUGCCAUGGCGGCGCGUGUACACGCUGCGGCUAAGCACUCCAGGUACUACUCUUUAGUUGGUUUCUUAGCAGUUUACUGUUUACUAAAUGCCACGUAUGCACAGCCUUACGUAAGAUACAGCCGAAACAAUUGAUGCAAGAUAGUUGCAUCCUGAAGCAAACAAACACCGGACACGACAUUCCACCGGAGCUCAUCAGACCACCGGGAUCCCCGUGGAUUACUCCCCCAGCCAGGAAGCGACGGCGGCGUCGAGAGCGCCGGCAGAAGAGGGGCUGUCGAUCCGGAUUACGAGCUAGGCUAAGCAGACAACCGCACAAGCCUUCAUUACCAAGCCUCUUCAUCACGAAUGCAAGAUUACUUCCCAACAAGAUCGAAGAGCUGGAACUUACCAUAUCCACGCAGAAAAACAUCCAGGACUGCUGUGUUAUGGUGAUCACUGAGACGUGGCUCACCCCGACCAUCCCGGCUGAGGCUAUCAAGCUAGCGGGUCGCAUAGCACACCGAGCCGACAGAACAUCAGAGUCAGGUAAGAGCAGAGGAGGGGGGCUCUGUGUUUACACAAACACGAACUGGUGUACAAACGCUGUGACAACGGACACAUACUGCUCGCCAGACGUGGAGUAUUUAUCCGUAAGAUGUCGCCCCUUCUAUCUGCCACGCGAAUUCACAGUUAUCAUUAUCACUGCUGUUUACAUACCUCCCGAUGCUAACACCAAAACAGCUUUGGACUCCUUGCUAACUGCCAUUAGCACUCAACAGCGUGACCACCCUGAUGGAGUCUAUGUAAUAGCAGGUGACUUUAACAAAGCCAACCUAAAGACUGUGCUCCCCAAAUUCCACCAACAUGUACACUGUCCAACAAGAGGGAGUAACACACUUGACCAUGUCUACAGCAACAUCAAGCAUGGGUUCAAAGCAUCACCCCUAUCCCACCUUGGGCAGUCUGACCACAUCUCAUUGUUCCUGACCCCAGCAUACAGACCACGUAUCUGUACAAGCGGGCCCACUGUUAAAACCAUACAAGUGUGGCCAGAGGGGGCUUCCGAACAACUGCAGGACUGCUUCAGUGACACAGACUGGUCCAUAUUUGAAGAGGACAACAUUGACAUCUACGCAUCCUCUGUACUGUUCUACAUCAAAUGCUGCAUGGAAAACAUCACUACCACAAAACAGAUCCGUGUG